rnacentral:rRNA from 1 species
CUGGGGCGGUCUCCUCCUAAAGAGUAACGGAGGAGCACGAAGGUUGGCUAAUCCUGGUCGGACAUCAGGAGGUUAGUGCAAUGGCAUAAGCCAGCUUGACUGCGAGCGUGACGGCGCGAGCAGGUGCGAAAGCAGGUCAUAGUGAUCCGGUGGUUCUGAAUGGAAGGGCCAUCGCUCAACGGAUAAAAGGUACUCUGGGGAUAACAGGCUGAUACCGCCCAAGAGUUCAUAUCGACGGCGGUGUUUGGCACCUCGAUGUCGGCUCAUCACAUCCUGGGGCUGAAGUAGGUCCCAAGGGUAUGGCUGUUCGCCAUUUAAAGUGGUACGCGAGCUGGGUUUAGAACGUCGUGAGACAGUUCGGUCCCUAUCUGCCGUGGGCGCUGGAGAACUGAGGGGGGCUGCUCCUAGUACGAGAGGACCGGAGUGGACGCAUCACUGGUGUUCGGGUUGUCAUGCCAAUGGCACUGCCCGGUAGCUAAAUGCGGAAGAGAUAAGUGCUGAAAGCAUCUAAGCACGAAACUUGCCCCGAGAUGAGUUCUCCCUGAGACUUUAGGUCUCCUGAAGGAACGUUGAAGACGACGACGUUGAUAGGCCGGGUGUGUAAGCGCAGCGAUGCGUUGAGCUAACCGGUACUAAUGAACCGUGAGGCUUAACCUUACAACGCCGAAGCUGUU